rnacentral:rRNA from 1 species
ACGAAGGAUCCAAGCGUUGUCCGGAUUUACUGGGUUUAAAGGGUGCGUAGGCGGAAAAUUAAGUCAGUGGUGAAAGCCCGCAGCUCAACUGUGGAACUGCCAUUGAAACUGGUUUUCUUGAAUAUAGCUGAGGCAGAUGGAAUAUAACAUGUAGCGGUGAAAUGCUUAGAUAUGUUAUAGAACACCGAUUGCGAAGGCAGUCUGCUAAACUAUUAUUGACGCUGAGGCACGAAAGCGUGGGGAGCGAACAGG